rfam:Clostridium spiroforme DSM 1552 Scfld_02_6 genomic scaffold, whole genome shotgun sequence.
AUUUAGUUAUACGACUGACGGAAGUGGAAUUAACCACAGGGAGUAUAAUCAUAGAAGAGCCGACCGUCUGGGCAAGAGUC